rnacentral:rRNA from 1 species
AGCCGCGGUAAUACGUAGGUGGCAAGCGUUGUCCGGAAUUAUUGGGCGUAAAGCGCGCGCAGGCGGGAUAUUAAGUCUGUUUUAAAAGUUCGGGGCUCAACCCCGUGAUGGAAUGGAAACUAAUAUUCUUGAGUGCAGGAGAGGAAAGUGGAAUUCCCAGUGUAGCGGUGAAAUGCGUAGAUAUUGGGAGGAACACCAGUGGCGAAGGCGACUUUCUGGACUGUGUCUGACGCUGAGGCGCGAAAGCCAGGGGAGUGAACGGGAUUAGAUACCCCGGUAAUCCUGGCCGUAAACGAUGGGUACUAGGUGUAGGAGGUAUCGACCCCUUCUGUGCCGGAGUUAACGCAAUAAGUACCCCGCCUGGGGAGUACGGCCGCAAGGUUGAAACUCAAAGGAAUUGACGGGGGCCCGCACAAGCGGUGGAGUAUGUGGUUUAAUUCGACGCAACGCGAAGAACCUUACCAGGACUUGACAUCGAUUGAAAUACCUAGAGAUAGGUACCUUCCCUUCGGGGAACAAGAAGACAAGUGGUGCAUGGCUGUCGUCAGCUCGUGUCGUGAGAUGUUGGGUUAAGUCCCGCAACGAGCGCAACCCUUAUCCUAUGUUGCCAGCGAGUAAAGUCGGGAACUCAUGGGAGACUGCCGCAGACAAUGCGGAGGAAGGCGGGGAUGACGUCAAGUCAUCAUGCCCCUUAUGUCCUGGGCUACACACGUACUACAAUGGGCUUAAAUAGAGGGAAGCGAAGCCGCGAGGUGAAGCGAACNNNNNAAACAAGCUCUCAGUUCGGAUUGCAGGCUGCAACUCGCCUGCAUGAAGUCGGAAUCGCUAGUAAUCGCNNNUCAGCANGCUGCGG